rnacentral:lncRNA from 1 species
CGAGCAAUGUGGCGUACGCCAAUUAUCCGAAUAUUCGAGAGAUAAUAAAGCGGAUGCUUACUAUACUCCUUUUCAUCCAAAUUUUUUAAAUUAUAAAAUAAAAUCUUUGGAAAUUAUAUUUGGUUUGGAAAAGUGAUUUGAAUUAUGAAAGGAUGGUGGAAGAAAUCGAUCAACAACUAAUUAUCAAAAUUAGUUGAUUAGAGUUCGAUUAAAUUGAUUGACUAAAUUAAUUAAUAUUAAUUAUCAAAAUUAUUUAUUUAAAUCGAACAAUAAAGUUGAUUAAAAUUAAUUUUCUAACAAUCAUUUAUCAACAUAAUUACACUCUUUAACCAUUAAUUGACAAUAUAACUACAGUAUUAAUAAUAUAAUUAUGAUUAAUAUUAUCCAUAUUCUUCUUAACUAGAAGAAAGACUAAUUGACUCAAAAGUUGGAACAAUACAAGAAUAAGUUUAAACCUUGGAAUUUAUAUCAUGCUAGAAACUAUCUUUAAUUCCAAUACAGUAACCAUUCCAUAUAUCCAUGGUUUUUCAAUUGACAUACCCCAAAAUCAAAUGACUGCAACUAAAACAAACUAUGGAAUCAAUUCAAAAGUUUAAGUUUCAACACAAGUGAAUUUGCAAACAAACACAAUCUUAAGUUGAAAUUCCAAUCACAUAUGCAUAAUUAAAACUCAAAUACUCAGGCCAAAUGGACUUACGAGAUAAAACAUGGCAAUGUAAUGUAACUCACCUGCUAUGUCAAAUAAAACUGAAGUAUAGUAACAACUAAAAAUAAUAGUCACCAUUCAUUUGUUUGCAAGGGCGUAUCAUCAAUUUAACCAAAUGUAUUAUUACUAUAGCAGAAUUUUAACCAAAUAUAUUAUUACCAUAGCAGAAUUUUUAACCAAAUGAAUUAAAUUCAUAGCAGAAUUUUUAACCAAAUGAAUUAAAUUCAUAGCAGAAUUUUUAACCAAAUGUAUUAAAUUCAUAGCAGAAUUUUUAUCAAAUAUUCAACUUUUAUCAAAGAGUAAACAAGACGGAUGCGGUGAGUUGAACAGAAAUUUCAGAAUUUUGUCAAAAUAUUCAACAUUUAACUACACAACAUAUUAUCUAAACAAAACCAAACCGAUGCACAAAACUGUAGCUUAUGCAGAAUCACAACUCUUAAUCAUAAAUUUAACCAAAACAGGUUCUGUUACGAAAGGCCGGAAUAUUAACGAGAAGUUAACAAGUCGAUACGGCAAAUCCCAAUGCACAACAAUGGCAAGUAUAAUGCAAACAAAACCAAAGGAUUUAAAGAUUACCAAAUUCUUGGAGGUGGUUGUUGCAAUGUUAACAACGCAGUAUACAUAUCACACAAAGUCUAUCCAUAAUAUCAACAUAUUCCAACAUAAAAUGAUUCAAAUAGAAAACAUCUCAAAAAUGUGAUGAGUUCUUGAACAAAGGAGUUACCAAAUAACAGAACCGUUGUUGUUGCAUUCUUGGCUUGCGAGCGAUGUUGCUUCUACACCGAGUUACUGCAUCCUUAGCAGACCGCAUCAACUGCUAAUACCAACCCCUUUCAACAUCCUCAAACCAUUGCGGUUCCGGCGUUGCUUCGUAUUGCUUCUUUCGCGUUCGACAGAAUAACCAUACUCCAACCUGCGCAAAAGCGGACAACAACCACACAAAGUAUCACAACAAUUUGAAAUAGCCAAACAGAUCUGAGUAGGAAGGGUGUCUUCAGUUCAUCAUUGCAUCAUUGUGCAGAAAUUGCAGCGAAGUGAGGCAAAAAACAGAGGAUUGUUGGUGUCGAAGGUGAUGCAAGCUGGAACCGACGACGAUUGUUGGGGUUGUUGGUGUCGAGUGUGGAGAUUAGAGCGGGCGGAAUCUGGAAAUGAAGAAGUGGAGGCGGGGGUUGGUGUUUCCGGCGCUUGAUUUAACGGUGAGCGGCGGAGGAGGACAGAAGAUUGGGUUUUGGACGGUUAUUUGAAGGGUAACGGCGGGUUUAUGGUGGUUUACGGUUGCGGAUGAUGGCGAUUUAUGAUGAAUCGCGGCGGAGAGGGUUUGAUGGUUGUUUGAUGGUGGAGACGGAGAGAGAUUUGGUGGUGGAAGUGAAACGGAAGGGGUUCCGCUGAUGGUUACGGCGGUGAUGAUGAAGAAGAUGAGGGUGUGCGGGUUUGAGCGGCGGAGGGUUUUUUGGAUGGGUCGGAAAUGGUUGAAGCAGUUUUUGGAAUUUUUCUUUCUUCCCUAUUUUUUUCCAAUUGCAGAGAGAGAGUGUUAUGAAUGUGUGUACAGUGGAGCGGAUCCUUUUAUGAGUGGGUGAGAGAUUUUGUACAGACUAUGGAGAGAUAAUUGAGUGCCAUUCUGAGUGAGGAAAAAUGUGAGAGUUUGUUGGGAGUGGAGAGAUAGAGAUAAUGAGUGACACGUAGCAGACCGUUGGGAGUGAUUUCCUUUGGAUUCCUCUUUUUUAUUAUUUUCUUUUUUUGUUUUUUUAUGUAAGUAAAAUAAAAAGGAUCCAAUGGACAUAUAUACAUAUUUAUUUUAUACUUAUUAUUUAUUUAAGAAAAACUAAAAUCAACAAAGAAAAAACUAGUUACUAUUUUAUUCUAAUUAAUAUCUAAGAAAAACUAACUAAUAUUUAAUUAAAUCACUAAUAUUUAAAAAAAACUAACUAAUAUUUAAUAUCAUUCUAAUUUCUUUAAUUAAAUAUCAAAAAAUAUUUGACCAAUUAAAAAAUAAAAAUCGAGUACAAAUUUGUUCUAAAUCAAUCAUGCCAAAAUUAUCAACGCCAAACACAUUAUUUGAAAAAUAAACUGUUUUCCUCCAAUUUUGACAAUUCAACCGAUUUUGUCUGUAUUCUCAAAUAAAUUUAAUCUGAGACUGUAAAGUCCGAGACAAGUACUACGUUACAUACAUUACCAUAGUAUAUGAUGCUAAAUCAAAAAUGAAAUUAAUUCUACGAAAAAUUAAAAAUGCCCGGACAAAAUUGGGGUAUGACAGAUGUCAAACUAGAUGGUACAACAUUUUGUCAGGUAGAUGCAAUCUGAGUUUGAAAUGAGUCUUGUUGGUGAUCUGACAUACUUUCUUGGGCUCCAAGUCAAACAAAUGGAUGCCACUAUCUUCAUCUCUCAAAGCAAGUAUGCCAAGAAUAUAACGAAGAAGUUUGGCAUGGAAAAUGCUAGCCAUAAAAGGACACAUGCACCAACUCAUUUGAAAUUAACCAAAGAUGAAAAAGGUGUAAAUAUGGAUCAAAGUCUGUACAGGGAGUAUGAUUGGUAGUCUGCUUUAUCUCAUAGCUAGCAGACAUGACAUUACAUUUGUUAUAGAAGUUUAUGCUAGAUAUCAAUCUGAACCCGAAAUGAGUCAUAUUACUCAAGUGAAAAGGAUUAUGAAAUAUAUCAAUGGAACUAGUGAAUGGAAUGUUGUAUUCUCACAAUGCAAACUCCUUGCUUACAGGAUACUGUGAUGCAGAUUGGGCAGGCAGUGCUGAUGAUAGAAAAAGCACUUAUGAAGGAUGUUUCUUCUUGGGAAAUAAUCUCAUAUCUUGGUUUAGUAAGAAGAAAAAUAGUGUGUCCUUAUCUACGGUUGAAGCUGAAUAUAUUGCUGCAAGAAGUAGUUGCUCUCAAUUCAUUUGGAUGAAACAAAUGCUAGAAGAAUACAAUGUCUAACAAGAUUUCAUGACAUUCUAAUGUGAAAAACUAAGUGCUAUUAACAUUUCCAAGAAUCCUAUUCAGCACAACAAAACUAAGCAUAUUGAUAUCCAUCAUCACUUUAUUAGGGAUCCGGUGGAAGACAAAAUUGUCACUCUUGAGCAUGUAACUACUGAGAAGCAACUGGGAGAUAUUUUUACUAAAGCCUUAUAUGCAAAUCAAUUUGAAAAACUAAGGGGCGAAUUGGGAAUUUCUAUGAUUGAAGAAUGAUAGCAAUUACUGAAGUGGAGAUAUGGAAAUAAAAAUUUCUCUUCCCUCCACUUAAUUGUGCACAAAACUCAAAUUCUAUCGUUACAACCUUUUCUUAUUUUCCCAAUAUUGCACCCUAUCCACUUUCACACUGUAGCGGGGUAUUCGUUACCUUCAGAUUUAUUGACCAAAUCAAAAGUAAACAUACAAGUCGAGUUGCCACCGCACUUCUAUUUAUCCAAAGGAAAGGUUAGAAAGCGAACAAAAACCUAGAAGUUUUAUCGAAUCAAAAACUAAUAAAAAUGUCAGAGAUCGGGGUAAGGGGGUUGGUUAUGCAAUGGGAAGGUUUUAAGCACCCAAAACAUCCUAGGUACUCCUAGGGAGCCCUUUUCACAAUUGUUGUAAGGUAGGUUGGUAUUUGUGAUAAUUUGUUUUAGUUGCAACGAUGUUAGAAGAACUAUGAAGAAAAGAAUAUACAAUUUAUUUAUAUUCUUAAAAAAGAUUAGGAUCAAAACCUCGUAGUUCGGGGAUAAAAAUUACUCAAAGAGUUGGUGAAUUGAUUGAUUCAGAAAAGCCUAAGUCUUUUGUUACCAAGGAGAAAACUCAAACCUCAAAAAACGCAAAAUCCACCAUGUGAGGAUAGCUUUCAACAAAUGCUAGUGGAGGGUUAACCCUAUACAUAAGCAUGGAAGACUCAUUGUCCAUCACUAAGGAUAUAGGUGAGUAUUACAUCUACCUCAAGGAUAACUCAAACCUAAUAGCUAAAGGUUAUGAAAAAAAGUUUGAUUAAGAGAGUGGCCAUUGAAACCUGUAAUACCCCAAAAUUUACCCUUCAUUUUUCUUGGAAGCAUGGGAUUGUGUUUCACAUUGCAUUAGCAUCAUACUAGGUCAUACUCAUUGCAUACUGCAUUAGUGACUUGGGAAAUCAGGGUUUGAUUGGUCACUCCUUACCAGAAGGAGCCCACACAGAGCAAGACUGAGAAUUGAACUUCAUUCUCCAAUUAUACAAGUCUCAAGGGGUUCCAUAUGUCUUAUUAUGUUCCCCUGUUCAUCAGUGGAAGAUUCAAAGCUCUCAGAGUGUGCAUCUGGGUUUAAUCAGAAAUCAGGGGUUUCAUGGCUAUCUGCAACAGGCAAGGUUGGUUGGAAGUGAAGGGGGUUCAUUCAUGUCAUUAUUAUAGAGGCAUCUUGGCCUAAGAAGAUCCACAAUUAUCACAGAAAGAUCCAUUGGCAAUCAGUGCAAUCAGUUCCUAAUCAUUUUUGCCCUAAAACUAGGGUUUGGUAUAAAAUCGGUUUAUUUCUGAUUCCUUGGUUGAAACUCAUUUCCAUGGCCCUCCAUAUGUCCACAAGGAUCUACAUGCAAAAAAUCAGCUCUUUAUUUGAGCCAGAGGUGCUUCAAUUGAUCAUUGGAAUCGAGAAUCAGACAGUUUGGGAAAAGUCAACCGUGGGGCCAGAAAAGUCAACUCCUGACAUUUUGAAAGUGGAAUAUCAAAAUUCAUGCCUAAGGAAGUCUACAUGUGAAAUUUGAUCAAGGUUGGAUCAUGGAUUCAUCAUUUAAUCAGGAGUUGGAAAAGUUACCAAAUUUGGAAAUAGUUUGACUUUCCAUUUAAGGCAAGUUUUUAUGGUUUUUGCACCCACUUUAAGCCUAUAUUCCAUCAAGAUGCAAGCCCCAUUUGAAAAUUUCUGCAACAUUAAAGUUGUUCCUCUUGUUUCAAGCUUUCUAGAGAUAUAAAGUUUGUUUCAUUUGGAUUAAAAUUGAGAAAGUUAGGCUUGAUCAAAGUAAGACAUUAUUUUAGAACACUUAGAAAAUUUUCUAAGUCCAAAAUUUGCAAAAUUUGUCAAGACUUAUGGGCCAGAUUUCUUGCACUUCAAGGCAUCUUUUGAAAACACUUUCUUCAUGAUAGUUGUACGUUGAUAUGUCCUCUUUCACACCUUUUUGGAACCACCCCAUUUGGAUCAUUGGUUUGGAAGAUACACUCAUCUAAAUUUGGUAUCAUAGGCUGAAUCUUUUGACAGCAUGUAGGCCAAACUGGCCCAACCAUUUUGCAACUAUAGAACCUGAACUUUAUGGCCAUUUUUCACCUCUUUCCACUCAUCAUUUCAAGUUGUGUUCAACAUGAAAAAUGUUAAGUUGCAUGCCCUCUUUCUACUGUUUGCAUUGCCUUGCCAUUUGGACAUUUAUUCAUCAAGAUAUAAAGUCUUAAAGUCACCCUGUUGGACUUAUUUCCAUGUUUUGCUGCAUAAACCAACCAGCCCUUGCAUUUCCUCAUUUGGCCAUUUGUUUUAUUUACUUUUGUUGUCAACUCACUUAACCUUUACCACAAUUAGAUCUUCUAAUACACCUCACCUUUUGCACCACUUUUUGCAUCAUUUUGUCAUGAACCAAACCAUACCCUUAAGCCCAUUCAAACACUUAAAACCCUACAUAUUUAAGACUUGGAAACCCUAAUCUGNAUCAUUUUGUCAUGAACCAAACCAUACCCUUAAGCCCAUUCAAACACUUAAAACCCUACAUAUUUAAGACUUGGAAACCCUAAUCUGAGAGGGAGGCUGCUACAUUUUCGACCUAAGCAAGAGCAAGUCAAGGGCAAGGCUGUUUCUCACUUCCAUUUUCCAUUCUUCAAGUUUGCAACACCAUUGAAAUAUCUUCCUUCUCUUUCCUCUCAUCCCAACAAGAAGCAGUGGACUGUCUCCACUAGGUAGUCUCUUUAUUCCAACCUUCCAUGGCCAUGAAUACUUUGCUUGCUCAUUAUUGUUUUUCAUGCUUGCAAUGCUUAUGCUUACUAUUGUUUUCAUGCUAUGGUCAUGCUCUUAUCAUGUGUUUUUUUUUUCAUGUUAACAUCGUGCACUACUUGUCCAUAAAACCCUCACCAUGAGGCUUUGUUUUGAAUUGGAAUUCAUGCUGUUAUUUUUCACUCAUAUCCAUGUUCAUAUGCCUGCCUUGCUGUUCAUUUUUCUUCAUGCUAAAGUCACUAUUUUGCAUAAAAUAAAAUACCAUGACGUUCCUCUCAUUUUGUACUUGAGUUUUGCUUUUUACACCAUGCCAUUUGAUGCACUAAGUUGAGAGCAAUGUUGUUUGGAAAAUGGAAGGGUUAGCUUGCGUUUUCACGAAUUCAAUAUGCAUGCUGUAAGUUAUUUCACGUUGCGUGAAGCAAAGCCAUGCGUGUCUCUCCCCAGUCGUCCGAUCGCGCGUAGGUGACGUGAUCCUAGCCGUCCGUUUCCUCUUUUGUCCAUUAGUAACUUAAAAAACCCUUGACCCAUUGAUAUAUAUGACAUGCUGAUUUAAUUAAUUCUUUUUCCUUUCAUUAAAAUGCUGUGUCACGCUGGCAAACGCUUGGGCUGGGCUUAGCGCCCCAUUUGCUUCCAACACCCUCCUUGCCUUGCCCAUCACUAUGAUGCUCAUUCAUUCUAUUUUGUUUUCAUUUUUCAUUUUAUUUUUUCUGUUUUGCUUUUUAAUUAUUAAAAAUAUUUUAUUUGUUCAUAAAAAUAUCAAAAAAUAUUUUUUACUUUCCUUAAUAUUUUAUUUAAUUUAUUCAUUUUUUAUUUUCAUAUUUUAUUUAAUGUUAAUAUUUUAUUUUAAUUAUUUAUUUCAAGUGGUUCUUUUAAGCAUACUUUUUUUUAUUUUUUUUAUUUUCUUGACUUAAAAUUAUUUUUAGGUUCUGAUUUUUGGGAUGAGGGUUGACCAAUGUCUCAUGGUCAACCUGACCUUUUAUUGGAAUUUUAUUUCCCAUUUUUAAUUUAUUUUGGAUUUAUUUUUGACCUAGUUUGCUUAAUUUUUGGGAUGAGGGUUGACCAAUGUCUCAUGGUCAACCUGACCUUUUAUUGGAAUUUUAUUUCCCAUUUUUAAUUUAUUUUGGAUUUAUUUUUGACCUAGUUUGCUUGGUUGACUUUUCAUUUGAUUUCUGUUUUAUUUCAAUUAAUUUAUACACUAAUUUUCAUUGUUUUUGAAAUCUUUUGGGGGGAUGAUGAUGUCCUGACCCCACCUUACUUAGUUUAAUUUUUCAUAAUUUUUGUGAUUAAUUUGCUAUUUAUUCUUGAUUUAUUUCUAACCUAGUCUUGUUGUUUGACUUUUGGGUUUGACCUUUGCUUUGAUUCAAUUAAUUCAAUAACCAAUUUCCAUUAUUUUUGAAAUCUUCUUAGGGAUUAUGAUGUCCUGACCCCACCUAACUUAGUUUAAUUUUUCAUAAUUUUUGUGAUUAAUUUACUAUUUAUUUGAUAUUUUUUAAGUUGACUUGACUUUACAGUUGACUUUUCUAUGAUUGAUGUUUGACAUAGGGAUUGCUUAUGGAAAUUGAAGAGACCUUUUGAUCCUCCCUUGUUCAUCUCAUGUGCCACAUAUUAUAGGCCUUUCACCUUGAUUUCAUUUGAUCCUUGCAUCAUUUCCCGAUUAAAUUAUUCAGUGAUCCUUUGUGUGCAUAAUUUCACCUGUUUGAUGCAUCUGAUAUUUUCUAUACUUGUUUCUUUCAUCCAUGCUUCUAUUGUUUGAUUGUUUAACAUGUUUAUACUUCUCAUGAAUUGUCUAAUGCUAAUUCAUUUCAUUCUUUGAUUAUUUGACUUGAUCAUAUACUUGUUUAUAUCUUAUCUGUUUGAUUAAUUGUGGCCUACGUGUAUGUUGUAUGAGGCAUAUAUUAUUGUUGUUUGAUUGCCAUGAACAACCCCCAUUCAUAACAAAUGUACCCCUAUCCCAUGAAGUGUAUAAUGUCUAUUCUUUCAUUCUUUAUUCAUCUGUUAAUACAAGAAAUAAAAUGAACAUCCGAUAACCAUUUCAAAACAAGAUCAAAACCUCGAUCCAACGUCGAAUAAUCAUUUUCAAAACCUAAUAGAACCAGCACGUUCUCAUUCAUCCUUUUGUAAGUCGAUUGCUUCAUGCAUCGCCAUUUCUCUUGUAAGUCGAUUGCUUCAUGCAUCGCCAUUUCUCUUGUAAGUCGAUUGCUUCAUGCAUCGCCAUCUACCACCCGUAAGUCGAUUGCUUCAGGCAUCGCCAUCUACCCCUGGUUCCUUUCCUUGCUCCAUCUUUCGAUUCUUGUUCCGUUUAGGUAGCACCCAUUAGGUAGAACCCUCUUUGUAUGAUAACAUAGGUAGAAUUCCCAUAUUCUUUUGUAUGUUAACAUAGGUAGAAUUCCCAUAUUCUUUUGUAUGAUAACAUAGGUAGAAUCCCCUUAUUCUUUGUAUGAUAACAUAGGUAGAAUUCCCAUAUUCUUUUGUAUGAUAACAUAGGUAGAAUUCCCUUAUUCUUUGCAUGCUAACAUUAGGUAGAUGCUUCCAUUUGUAAAUCCUAACACUUAGGUUCCCAUUGCAUGACAACUCUAGGGCAGAGCUUACCUAUUUUUAGACCUUCUGUGCGUCUCCGAUCUUGUGGCAUGUAGUUCGUUCUAUUGCAAAGAGGUAACUGCCUAAGACUCGAUUCAGCGAGCUGCGACACCUGCUGCUAGGACGUGAACACAUUGCCCACUCUCCUUUGACAUAACUGGUGUCCUCCUUUGUAAGUCCAUGUUCAAAUGGCAAUCCCUAUGUAGCCGAACUACGGCAACUCUGAUUCUCAUGUUCAGAUGAGAUACGUAGGCACAAGAUGUGAUGUCUUGCCGAGUUCCUUUUUGACUGACAACUAACAACUAAUCCUUGUUUGCUUUCGCCUUUGUUGCGAUUCUUUUCUCUCGCCCUCGUUGCGAUCGAGACCUUCCCCUUUCUCUUGCCCUAGUUGCAAUCGAGACCCUUGUUCCCGUAGUUAGUUGAACUACAUUUUGCUCUGAUUCUCAUUCCAGAUGAGAUACGUAGGCAUAAGACGCGAUGUCUUAGCGAGCACACUUCUCUUUCACCCAUAGGUAAUCGAGCUACGAAGACUCUGAUUCUCAUAUUCAGAUGAGAUACGUAUGCAGUGGAUGCGACAUCCGUGCGAGUCAUUUUCUUUUGACCUUUUCUUUUAGUAAAUAGUACCUUAGAUAAACAUACACCAUUUAGACAAGAACAACAAGAGUGGAUCCCGUAGAGUACUACGGAUGCGUAGGGGUGCUAAUACCUUCCCUUCGCAUAAUCGACUCCCGAACCCAAGAUUUGGUUGUGAGACCUUGUCUUUUCCUUUCACUUCCCUUCGCAUAAUCGACUCCCGAACCCAAGAUUUGGUUGUGAGACCUUGUCUUUUCCUUUCCUUUCUCCAGGUUUACUUCGAGCGUUUCCUUUCCCUCCUUUGGGAUAAAUAACGCACGGUGGCAACUCUUCUGUCAUUUCUCUUUCGCCGGUUGUUUUUUCGCAUACUAUAUUUUUUAGGCUGCGACAGCUGGUGACUCUGCUGGGGACCCAGUUUCCCUAAGCGAGUCUCUCCUAGCUUUUGUAGGUUUCUUGUUUGUUGGGUGUUUAUUCUUUUGUACAGUUAUUUAUUUUUCAGCAUUUACCUGCUUUACCUUAUUGCAUUCAAGUACAUAUGAUUUGCUGUAUCUGUUGGGUUCUGUGGGUUGUUUGUUUGUUGGGGUGGGAUGUUCUAUGAGAGAUAAGCCCACUACCCAGGCUUGAGUGUACACAUAGGUUUUAGAGUGGAUAGGCAUGAGGCUUGCGUGGCAUGUUGCUACGUUAAGUCGUUCAUGAGACCCACAUCCAGACGAGGUUUCUUUUGGAUAUAUUAUGUCCUAUGGGUGUUCCAUAACGACAGAUAUUCCUCUAGAAAUCGUCGAACAGACGAGGUUUCUUUUGGAUAUAUUAUGUCCUAUGGGUGUUCCAUAACGACAGAUAUUCCUCUAGAAAUCGUCGACUCUGGUGACCAUUUCCCGAGGACUCAGUCAAGGCCUCUCCUCCGAGACGCAUUUAUGUUAGCUCUGGUGGGCGCAUUCUCGCUGCUCAAUCUGAGGACCCCGAGGCUGGGAACUUGCUUUAGGAUAUCCUGUUGAGGGGAGUCAGUGGAGGUCUUUUAUCCCGUAAUAAUGUCAAACAUUCAGUGGUAAACGUAUUAUUCUCGACUGAAGGGCUGAAGAUGACAAACUUCUGUUCUUAGAACCUACCAGUGAGGGGUGGGCUAAAUUCAGGAAACCUUAACCUCCAACCAACCCGGUUUUCUGGAACAGAGUUUUGAUCUUGUAUUAUAUUCCUCAGUGGGUUUCUCUUCAAACAGUGCAACCCGACAGAUGUCAAGCAGAUAGAACAGUCCUGAUUUCCAUGUCACUGCAUUGCAUUGCAUCAUUUUGCAUUCACAUCAUUUAAUACAUGUUUAUCUAUUUCUAGGGGUUUACAUCUUCUUCUUGAUUCUGGUCGGGGUUUUCUGGUUCUCCUGAGAUGGGUAUUGGCAGAAAGAGACAUGUCACCUACAAGUUUCUUGUGGUUUGUUUGGAGCCUAUUCAGCAGCUGAUGAAGUUAAUGGAUCAGGAUUCACUAGAAGGAUUCCGGAAGGAGUAUGGGUUGAUUCUAAGUUUCGUCACGGUUCUCUCCAAAGAUCAACAUGAUGCUCUCUUCACACUGUUGCAGUUCUAUGACCCUCCAUUGAGGUGUUUCACAUUCCCUGAUUAUAUUUUGGUCCCUACUAUGGAGGAGAUUGCCAGUUUUCUCAGAGUUCCUAUCAAGCCGCAGUUGCUAUUCUACAGUUCUGAGUUUCUGCUCGAUCUCAACAUGGUUGGUUCAGCCACAUAUUUGGGGAAAUCAGUCUUGAAGUCUAAUAUGUGUCAGAAGGGAGGAGUCGGUGGUUUUCAUUUGAGUUUCUUGGUGGGAGAAGCUCAGAAGAAGCUUGAAGAUGGUGAUCAAAGGGGUUUCAAUGCUGUGUUGGCUCUUUGCGUAUACCGGAUUAUCCUGUUCCCUAAUGUUGCCAAAUUUGUGGACGUAGACGCAAUACGCCUUUUUGUGUUGGGUAAUCCAGUGUCGACCUUGUUGGGAGAUUUCUUUCAUUCAGUGCAUCACAGGAAUGAGAAUAGAAGGGGGGGGGGAUUGGUGAAUUAUUGUGCACUUUUGUUUUAUAAGUGGUUCAGUUCUCACCUACCCAAGUCAGGAGCGUUCGUUGACUUCAAGGACUCGUUGAGUUGGUCGAAGAGAUUGAUGGGGUUGAGAGCUAAAGAUAUUUCUUGGUGGUCAGACCAGAACUUGCUUCGAGCGGAUAUCAUUCACAGUUGUGAGAACUUCCCAAAUGUACCGCUGGUAGGAAGAAGAGGAGGAAUCAACUAUAAUCCUUCUCUAGCAGUUAGACAGUUUGGAUAUGCUUUAAGAACUUCGCCUUUGGAAAAGGAUGUGGAAGAAUCUCUGUUUUUCCAUUCUUCGCCUGAUUUGACUGUAUCCCGUAAGGCAGCAGAGGCCUGGCUCAAGGUGAUCAAGAGAGGAAGAACUGACGAACCUUUUCCUCAUUGUAGAACUUACCCUCAGUAUGAAGAGUGGCUUCAAGGAAGAGUCGAAGAGUUUGGUCUGCCGUUUCCUAUUGAAGAACCUUUGUAUCCACCUACUCAUGAGCAAUCAACAAUGGUGAGCCGAGACAAGUAUGAAAAAUUGAAGAAAGCCAUGGAGGAACUUCAAAACUGAAAACUCGGAGUUGAGUGUAAAAUUGCAAGACUGUAUGCAUCUAUCUCAUGAGGCAGAAUAUCAGAAGAGGGAAGCUAUCAGAUUGCAAGAGGAAGUAGAGAGGAAAUUAGUUGUGGAGGUGGACUUCUUCAGGAAGACAGACAAGGCCUUGGGAUCAUCCAGUUCUGAGUUGAGGCGAGUCAAGCAACAGUUAAUGGAUGCUCAUGGUAAAUUAGUUGGGUGGCAAGAGCAAUGGGAUGCAUUUUUAGCUUCUCGGAAAGCAAAAGAGGAGGAGAUGCUGGCCGAAUUGACUAGUCAGAUGGAGAAGUUGAAGAUUCUGCUGGGGGAGAAGAACAAUGAGCUUCUGUGCGCCCGUUCAACCAAUGGUUACAUCACGGAUCAACUCAACAAGGCUCAAGAACAGAUUGAAGAACUCAAGGUGCUGGCAGGUUUGAAGAGGUCUAGACUUGAAGAGGUUUUCGGGGAGGAUGAUGGGAAGUACUACAUGGAGCACAUCAACGAACUGGAUGGGAUUAUUCACAGGAGGAAUUUGCUUAUCCGGCGUUUGACAUAAUCUCUAGAUCAUCCUGACACGGUGGCACUACUGGCUGAAGUGAGGAGCAGUCCUUAUGGGUUGUAUACAGGAGGAUGAUUCCUGAUUUUUGUUCCUCUCUUUACUUAUUAUGUUGUUACUUUGUAGUGAUGAUCCAGAGGCUUGUUGUGGGAAUCCUCUUCUGAUAUAUUGUUCGCUAAGGCCAUUCUCUUUGAAUUUAUCUGUAUGAAGGUUUUCUCUUUAUUGCAUCUUGAUCUCAGAAGCUUAUCCAUGACUCGGUCUUCUUGCACUUUCACCUGAUGUGAGACUGGAAUCAAGGGGUUAGAAUACCCUUUGGAAUUGAUAAACAUGUCAUUGCAUUAACAUAUUCAUUUGCAUAUCUUGCAUAACAGGUACCGCUACGGUGUUCUCAUAUUAUUUGGUGUUCCACUAGCAGGAUAGCUGAUUCAGGAAUUCACCGGUACGGUACCCGAAGAAACCAGCAGAGAGCAAUGGAAGGCCUUCAAGCAGAACUUGUCGAGAUGAGGAUCCGCAUGAACCAAUUCAUGGAUGUGGUUCAGGAAGUAGCUCAAGGACAACAAGAGCUCAAAUAGAUGAUGCAAAGGAAUCCCUCCACUACUCAACCAGAGACGUCGACUGAUCCUCCAGCUGGAGAGGUUAACGGACCCAGUGGACUGGGGCCUACCCCGAUCCCACAUGUCAACUCCGGUCAACAGCCCGUCCAUGAUGAUCAGGACAAUCAGUUCACCCAGAUGCAGGAAGACUUUGGCAUGGACCCCAUGUUUAGAAGAUUAGAGGAGAGGCUGAAGGCAGUGGAAGGACAUAAUCCUCUAGGAGUAGACGUUGCUGACUUGGGAUUGGUCCCAGGCGUGAGGGUGCCACCGAAAUUCAAAGUCCCAGUCUUUGACAAAUACAAUGGCAGCUCUUGCCCAAAGACCCAUGUGCAAGCCUACUUCCGUAAGAUGGUUGCAUACUCUGACGACGAGAAGCUACUCAUGUACUUCUUUCAGGACAGCCUAGCUGGGGCAUCCCUGGAAUGGUACAUGAGGCUGGACAGAGCCCACAUCCGUUGUUGGAGAGAUUUGGCGGAGGCCUUCGUGAAAUAGUAUCAGUACAAUGCUGAUAUGGCUCCGGACAGAACCCAACUUCAGAAUCUGUCUCUUAAAAGCAAUGAGUGCUUCAGAGAAUACGCUCAACGCUGGAGAGAGACAGCUUCCCGUGUUCAACCUCCUAUAUUGGAGAAGGAAAUGGCUAACAUGUUCAUGAACACUCUGCCCGGACCUUACUUGGAGCGUCUGGUGGAUUGUAAUGCCUCCAACUUUGCUAACAUAGUCUCUACCGGUGAGAGGGUGGAGAACUACCUGAAGACCUGCAAGAUCCAAAGUGGAGGUGGAUCUUCAUCAGGUGUGAAGAAGCCAUUUAUUGGAGGACAGAAGCAGAGAGAAGGGGGUGUGAAUUCUGUGUCUUCAUAUCAAAACAGAGGUGUCCGGAGGAACAGUUUCCAGAACUAUCAUCAACAACCGUAUGUUACAGCUGUGACUAUUCCGGCUACAGCACCAGUACAACAACAACAACCAUAACGUCAACAAACUCAGUACCAACAACAACAACAGGGUAACAGACCCGCCUAUCAACAGAGACAAAGGAUGAUGGACAGGCGUUUCGACACUCUUCCAAUGUCGUACGCCCAGUUGCUCCCUAGCCUUCAACAACUACAACUCGUGCAGUUACGCACUCUGGCUCCUCUUGUUGGCAGGCUUCCAGUGGGAUAUGACGCCAAUGCUAGGUGUAACUUCCACUCCGGGGCACCUGGCCAUAAUAUUGAGAACUGCAAAGCUUUUAAGCACGUAGUUCAGGACCUCAUAGAUUCAAAGGCCAUUAACUUUGCGCCGGCUCCUAAUAUCGUCAACAAUCCCAUGCCGCAGCAUGGUGGUGCAAAUGUUAAUAUGUUGGAAGGGGAAUCCAAGACAGUCAAAGAUGUGUUGAAGUUGAAGACUCCGCUGUUGGAGAUUAAAGACUGCUUGCUGAAGGCCGAUGUUUUCCCCGGUUGUGGGAAGGGUUGUUUGGAUUGUGCUACAAAGAGCGGAGGUUGUUUGAAGCUGCAGCAGGGUAUCCAGGCCUUGCUUGACAAUGGUAUCCUCCAGGCUGAAGACUUGUCUGUCAUAGGGGUGCUAAUAUCUUCCCUUCGCAUAAUCGACUCCCGAACCCAAGAUUUGGUUGCGAGACCUUGUCUUUUCCUUUCCUUUCUCCAGGUUUACUUCGAGCGUUUCCUUUCCCUCCUUUGGGAUAAAUAACGAGCGAGACCUUGUCUUUUCCUUUCCUUUCUCCAGGUUUACUUCGAGCGUUUCCUUUCCCUCCUUUGGGAUAAAUAACGCACGGUGGCGACUCUUCUGUCAUUUCUCUUUCGCCGGUUGUUUUUUCGCAUACUAUAUUUUUUUGGCUGCGACAAAUAUGUGGAGGAUUCCCAAAUGUACCUUUAAUAGGAAUGCAAGGUUGUAACAAUUACAACCCUGCAAUCCUCAAGAGACAGUUGGAUACGCCAUGUUGAGUUCUUCUGUGAACCGAGACUUUGUACCUUUCAUUGUCAAUAUCGUGGACCCACUCGAUUCAAGCGUGAAGAGAGUGCGAAGAGCUUGGACAAGCAUAAUUCGGAUUAGCCAAGAGAGGGGAAAAAUAAUAUCCUAGCAAAGGAACCCUACUUUGUGUGGGUAAAAGAGAGGGCUAGGGUGGUCAAGAUGCCUUUCCUUUUUUACUCUUCUUCAUUUCCGUUGGUGCCUGAACCUGGGCCCAUUCUGCAUGAAGACAUGGAAAAACUUACCAACAAAAUACAAGAGCUUGAGUUGGAAAACACUCAAUUACGAGUCCAACUCAAUUGUGCCAAGGAACACAACCACACCUUGGAAGACAAAGGUAAGCUAGUCUUUAAGAAUUUCGCAACCAACAAGAAGAGGUUAAGGGAAAUCGAAGGCCAUAGAGAUUGGGUUGGUGGUGCUCUUGAAGGAUCCAAUUCUGAGCUAGACGCUCGCAACGACUAGUUGGAUCAAGCAUUUCUAAUCAUUAGGGACCUUGAGAAGACCGUUGAGAGGUCUAAUGCUAUGAAGAAAGAGGCCAUGGAGAUUACGAAGCCCAAAUCCUCGAGCUUAGGACCACUCUGAAGGAGUGCAAGGAACUUUUGGCUAAGGAAUAGCUCGGGAGGGAGAAGAUUCACCAAAGCUUCUUGCGUGAGCUAUUCAACCUUACAUGAGCUUGGGAGCAAAUCAAGAACCUGAAGAUGGGAAUCUAUGAUCAAACAUAUGUGGAAUUGCAGAACAACUGCGGGUAUUUGAAGGAGAGAUGCCAUGGAGCCAAAGCCGCCACUUCUCAAAAGGAUGAGAUCAUCCUCAACCUCCAAACCCUCUAUAAUGAGCGGAGAGACGAGUACGCUGACAUGGUAGUACUAACUAACUAUGUCCUCCAAUACUUUCCUGAUAAGUUGAAGGAAGUUGAUAUAAUCAUGUGCCCAGAUAAUACCCCAGAAGAGGUCUACCAUUUCGUCAAAUUCUUCAAGAAGACGAUGGUAGAGCACGUCAUCGACAUUACGCCUCUCCAUAAGUCUCAUGGGGUCACUUUUAGGGUCAACAUUUAGUCUGCUUAUUUGUCUCAUUCACUUGUAAUUUUCAAUUGCCAUGUAUUUGUAAUAUGUGCCAUUCCCUUCAAAGGAUGAAUAAAGCUUUUGUGAUUCACUUUGUGUGUUUUCCUUUAUCUUUGAUUGCAAACGUAAAUUGUUAAGUAUUUCUUGCAAUAAACAAAAUGAAUAACUAAAGAGCUUUGCAUUAACAAAAAAUAACAACAUCCAUGCAUCAUGUGCAUUUUCAAAACAUAAAAUAAAAAAAACUCAUCCUUCCACCCUCUUUCUCUAAUCAGAACCAAUGCCUCCAAACUGACUUCCCAGUAGAACAUGCACCGAAAUCAGCAAGUCGUCAUGGAUCAACUUGAACAAAACCAAGUCGCGCUCAGAAAAGAGGUGUCUCAAGUGAGGUCCCAAAUGGGGAAGUUGAUGGAGAUAAUUCAAGAAGUCGUUAGAGGACAAGAAAUCAUGGCUAAAAUGCAAGAGGAAAUGAAUCAACGUGCUCAUGCAGCUAAUCCUCUUAUUCCUCCUGUGGUAGAGACUCAUGUUCCUCCUCCUCAAGGAAAUCCUCCAAUUCAUGUAAGUGCACCCGACAAUGUCCCACCAUUUAAUAUCAAUCCCCCUAUCAUCGAGGUAUACAAUCAACAUGAUGCUUUCUUCAGCCCUAUGGUUGCCUCCCUAUACGAAGCUUUCGGUCCCACAACUAAUGAAAUGGAGAAAAAAGUCAAGGCCAUUAAAGAAAAGCUAAAGGCGAUGGAAAGUAGCGAUGUAUUAGGUCUCGAUGUCUCCGAAAUGUGCUUGGUUUUGGGUGUGAUUAUCCUGCCAAAUUCAAAGUCCCUAACUUUGAGAAGUAUAAGGGAGCCAGCAAUCCCAAAACCCACAUCAGAAUCUACUGCUGGAAAACGACUUCCCACUCGGAAGAUGACCAACUCCUAUUGCACUUAUUUCAAGAUUCUUUAAGCGAAGCAUCCUUGGACUGGUACAUGCAGUUAGAGAAUACCCAUAUUCACACCUGGAGGGAAAUGGAUGAAGUGUUCCUCAAACAUUAUCAGUACAAUACUGAUAUGGCACCGAACCACACACAUUUGCAAAAUCUAGUGCAAAAGUCUGAGGAAACCUUCAAGGAGUAUGCUUAGAGGUGGAGAGAGCUAGAAGCCAUAGUACAACCCCUGUUACUUGAACGAGAGUUGAUAGACAUGUUGAUGGGUAACUUCCAAGGCACAUAUCUCGAUAGGAUGGUAGGAAGUACAUCCUCGGGCUUUUCUGGCCUAGUUUUGGCUGGCGAGAGGAUUGAGAACAUGAUCAAGAUGGGGAAAUCCAGAAUCCUCAAGUACCUCUAAAAUGGUGAAGAAACCUUUUAUCGCCUAUGGCAAGAAGAAAGAAGGAGAGGUCAGCGCAACAACAACAAUCAGAACCAGGACCCCGACAUACCGUGUUCCCUAUAAGUAAGUAGCCACCGUGGAUGCUGUGUAACAAUCACAACAACAACCUGUCACUAUUCUUGUUCAACCUCAACAACAACAAUGACAACGUUAUGAGUAACCUCGACAACAACAUCAUCGUUAUCAACCACAACAACAACAACAACGACAAUACCACCAGCAACAGUAACAACAAAUACAUAGAAGACCAUAAAGAAGGUUUGAUCUGGUUCUGAUACCCUAUAGUCACAUUCUACCAUAUCUUUUAAGAGGAUCACUUGUAUAAUUAAGGGAAUUGGUACGCCUCCAGCAGUUCUUCCUCCCGGCUACGAUGUGAAUACCCAUUGUGAAUUCCACUCUAGAGCUCCCAGACACUCAAUUGAAAAUUUUAAGGCCUUAAAGUACAAAGUGCAAGACUUAAUUGAUUCAAAAGAAAUUAUGUUCGCGCCCAACGGCCCGAAUGUAAAUAAUAAUCCCAUGCCUUAUCACAACAAGACGAAUGUGAACAUGGUAGAAAUAGAUGUCAGAAGAAGACUGAUAACCUUUAUCAAUGAAUUGAAAACUCCACUGAUCGAGAUCAAGAACGUGUUAGUGAAAAGUGAUGCAUUUCCAGUUUGUUCAACCACUUGUGAAUAAUAUUUGAUUAACCCACAACACUGUGUAAAUUUUGAAGACCGUCAUACAAAAUCUGAUGGACCAAGGGAUUCUAUUGAUAGAUCGCCCAUCCAUGAUUGAAGAAAUAUCCACUCUUGAAAUAUUGUAUGAUGAAGUUAUACCUUUACAGAUUCCAUACAAUCUUUCACAGAUGACCCUCUCAGCAGCUCCCAUCACUCCAAUAGUAAUAAAAUUCUCGACGUUGUUUCCAUAUAAUAACACCAAGGUAGUCUCGUGGGUGUAUGACUCCACAGUCUACAUCCAUGGCCAAAAGCUGCAAGAAAAGAUGAUGACGUCCAACGAGCCAAUAAUCAGUAUAGCCAGCACCAUCGGGGUCACCAGAAGCGAUAGAAUAUUUUCUCCUAUAUCUCUCCCUACUGAUAAUAGCGGUCCUUAGACCCAAGACAAAGGCAAACAGAUUAAUAAUGCCCAACAGAGGCAAGACUCUCUACCAACCAAUGAGAUAGACGGAUUCUUGCGCAUCAAAAAGAGAAGUGAUUAUCGAGUGGUUGAACAACUCAACCAAACUCCAUCAAUGAUCUCUAUAUUGUCUCUGCUUAUGUGCUCCGAAGCAUAUUGCAAUGACUUGGUCAAUUUUCUAAAAGUUUCUCACGUAUUGUAGGAGAUUUUUAUGUGCCAAUUCGAGGGAAUGGUCAACAACAUAGCUACCAGUAUGAGCCUGGGGUUCAAUAAUGAAGAGCUCCUCGCUGAGGGAAGAAACCAUAACAAAGCCUUGCACAUCUACAUUGAGUAUUUAGAUAUUGUGUUAUCAAGAGUCUUGGUGGAUACUGGUUCCUUUCUCAACAUGAUGCCCAAGAGUUCGCUUGAAAAAUUGACCAUUGAAGGACUUGUUAUGAAACCAUAUGAGCUAGUACUAAGGGCGUUUGAUGGGUUGCAAUGGACUGUGAUCGAUGAAGUAGAUCUUCUCAUCAAAAUUGGCCCUCAUACUUUCUUCAUUACCUUCUUUGUGAUGGACAUACACCCAACUUAUAGUUUCUUACUUGGAAGACCAAGGAUACAUUUGGCCGGAGCCGUUACUUCAAUGCUCCACCAGAGGCUGAAAUUUCUGAUCAAUAAUAAACUGGUAGUUAUGGUAGGUGAAGAAGACAUUAUGGUGAGCCACCUGGCAUCAUUCCGAUACGUAGAAGGAGAUGGGGAGUUGAAGGAAAUCCCAUUUCAAUCGUUUGAAAUCAUCAAUGUUGAAAUGGUUUUCCCUAUUAUAAAUGAAUUAAAAAAUGCUGAAUUUCUAAUGUCCUCCCUCAGAUAUGCUUUGAACGUCAUAAGGAGUUGACACCCUAUAGGAUGAGGAAGAAUGCUUGAGUUUCCUAACAACAAGAACCGCAAUGGAUUAUGAUACAAUUCCUAAAACUUGAAGAAGACAAUUCCAAUAGAUGAAACGGGACAAGUGCUCCCAUUAUCAAAGUACAUCUCAAGUGUUGGAAAUCUUUUAGAUGGCAAUGUAUGUGCCUUAGAAGAGGAUGAUGAAGCUGAAGAUGCAGGACUGGUCUUUUAGAAGACCGAAGGAAGAGGUGUUAUCAAUUGGACUAUGUCGGAAUUACCUGAAGUGACAAUGAUCGAGAAGUAAUUUUCCUUGUUUUGUUUUCCUUUAAUCAAUCAAAAGAACCCAUGUUGUGGCCAAGGCAUGGGGGAAUCAUUUGUUGAGCCUCCUUUGAAUUUCCCUUUUAUCAAAUCAAUGAAAAUCACCAUAUUUCACAUUUAAAUUUGUGAUCUUUUUUCUUUCAUUUUAUAUUUUCGCUAAAUUAAAAAAAAAUGGCAAUGCUUUUAUUUUUCUUUAAAGUUUUUCAAAUCAAUUUUUUUCCUUGCAUAUAAAUAAAAUCAUGAAUCCUAAGUUGUGCAAAUCACCCUCGGUUACCACCAAUAACAGCUCUGUUAUGGUCACAUAUGACUUUGACAAUCCGAUUAAUCACUCUGACAAAGACUGUGAUGAAGAUUGUGAGUUCCCAGGAGAGUUAGCUCGGCUACUCAAGCAAGAGUCGAAGGUCAUCCAACCGCACGAGGAAUCAGUGGAAGUAGUCAACCUUUGAAUGGACGAGGAAGCCAAAAAGGUCAGAGUUCGCUCAGCUCUACAAGAAGAAGUAAAUGCAAAGUUUGUCAAACUCUUAAAGGACUACAUGGAUGUGUUCGCAUGGUAUUACCAAUACAUGCUAGGGCCCACUACUGAUAUCGUAGUCCAUCGCUUGCCUCUCAGAGAAGAGUUCCCUCCUGUGAAGAAAAUGCUAAAAAGGACUCGUCCCGACAUGGAUAUAAAGAUAAAGGAGGAGGUGCAAAAAUAACUCGACACGUGGUUUAUAGCAGUUUCUAACUAUCCCCAAUGGAUCUCCAAUAUUGCGCCCGUGCCCAAAAAGGAAGUAAAAGUAAGGAUGUAUGUGGAUUACAUACAUUUGAAUAGCGCAAGUCCCAAAGAUGACUUUCCACUACCCCACAUUGACGUGCUAGUGGACAACACCCCUCAAUUCUCUGUUUUCUCCUUCAUGGAUGGAUUCUCCGGUUAUAACCAAAUCCAGAUGGCUCUAGAGGACAUGGAGAAGACCACUUUGAUAACCCCAUGAGGUGUGUUCUGCUAUAAAGUCAUGCCUUUUGGAUUAAAAAAUAUUGGCUCAACUUACCAACGAGCCAUGGUCACACUCUUUCAUGAUAUGAUUCAUAAGGAGAUCGAGGCUUACGUUGAUGAUAUGAUCGCCAAAUCUCAAACCAAAGAGGAGCAUCUUAUCAAUCUGGAUAAGCUAUUUAAACGGUUAAGGAAGUUCAAGUUAAGGCUUAAUCCCGACAAAUGUACAUUUAGAGUAAGAUCUGGCAAACUGCUAGGUUUUAUUGUUAGCCAACGUGGUAUUGAGGUAGAUCCUGAGAA